ensembl:lncRNA
CUGUAUAACGUAGGUAGAUGACCUACAUACCUGUAUAACGUAGGUAGAUGACCUGCAUACCUAUAUAACGUAGGUAGAUGACCUACAUACCUGUAUAACGUAGGUAGAUGACCUACAUACCUGUAUAACGUAGGUAGAUGACGUGCAUACCUGUAUAACGUACAUGACUUAAUGACGCAGUGGAAAACUUUGCUCUAGACGUGCAACACAGCAUUCCUAACUUAGCCCACAAUGUCUGCUGUGUGGAUCGAGCAGUCAACAAGUCGAGUAGUCAUUUGAAAGAGUAAGAACAUUUUAGCGAGACAACUCAAAAGGUGAUCCAUUUACCCCAAGAUAAUGGAAUUCAUUGUCCUUGAUAAUCAACUGUUCUCUGUCGUGGGUGAUGUUGGCGAUCGCGACAUGGUCGAUGCAGCGGUACACACUACCAAGUGCUCUAUUUUUUCAGAUGUUGCCCUACCAGAGUUACAUGUCAUGACGGGGCCCUUUCAAGGUGUAGAUCGUAGCUUCCCUCCCCCUCUCUCUCUUAAUCUCUCUCAAUAUCUGAAUGGUCCGUUAAGGAACAGUUAUGUUGAGUGUGUUUAAUGUCGUGACCUCAUAAAGGACUAGAUCUCUGAAUGUGUACAUUUCUCAAUUAUGGGGUUUGCAUCUAAUUAUUGUAUAAAAUCAAUGAGUAAAGAUGAAACUAUUUGUGAACUGACGUAAUAUGAUGUUAAACUUUAAUUUGAAGAGAAUUGUAUUCCCUGUAAACUAGUCAGUGGCCACGUCCCCGUGAGCACAGACAUGAUCAGGUGUCACGGAACCACCCUUUUGUUAUUGUUACGAAUAAAACCCACUCCUGAGGAAAUUCACAUCAGACAAAGCAAAACCCAGCGUGAGCUGAGGUUGCAAAUGGUUGAAUUUCUAAGACUAGAAAACCACACCGAGUGGAGCAUUGAAAUGGUUCAACUCUGAGACUAUCGAUCCCUACAGAAUAAGAGCAAAUCUUAGAUAUCAUUACUAGACUUCAACUAGAAAUGAUGUAAACCUAGGGUGAAAAUACCGAUAACCGCCAAAACAUCUAUUCAAAAAACAAUGGACGCCUGACGUAUCCAUUACAACAGACACUAUCAGACACUAUCCCGAGCCGCUGAUAAAGCUACAACCAUGAAAGAUGUUGUGACUUCUGGGGAUGUAACCAGAAAGUCUCUGAUGAACUGACUCUCCAGCAGACGGACCGACGAUUCCAACAGAGAAGACAACAAUGACAUACGGGCGGAAAUGUAUUUAUUGCAAUUAUUCCUGAAUGAGCGGCUGUUCAUGUGCAAAGGAUUAGUAUUUCAAUGAAUAUAAUUACCCACUGUGUGAAUCCAUUUUGUCUUUCCUGCUCCUUUAUUGGUCCACACCCCCUUUCCUUUACCCACCAAGCCGUCAUAUUGGUUUAGCCCACUACGGAAUCUUCCCUAUCAUUUGUUAGUAACUAAUAUCUACUGUUUGUUUGUUUAUGCAUUUCUGUGAUUAUUUAGUUAGUAAAUAAACGAUUAAGCCAAUUGGUGUAUGGAUGAUUUGUGGUUUAGUCUGGGUUCG